rnacentral:rRNA from 1 species
AACGCUGGCGGCGUGUCUUAAGCAUGCAAGUCGUGCGGCAAGGGGUAGCAAUACCCCCUAGAGCGGCGGACUGGUGAGUAACGCGUGGGUGAUCUGCCCUUGGGAUGGGGAUAGCCAUUAGAAAUAGUGGGUAAUACCGAAUACGUUCAUUAGGCUGCGGCCUAGUGAGGAAAAGCGCUUCGGCGCUGCCCGAGGAUGAGCCCGCGUCCCAUUAGCUAGUUGGUGAGGUAAUGGCCCACCAAGACUAUGAUGGGUAGCCGGCCUGAGAGGGUGUACGGCCACACUGGGACUGAGAUACGGCCCAGACUCCUACGGGAGGCAGCAGCUAAGAAUAUUCCGCAAUGGACGAAAGUCUGACGGAGCGACGCCGCGUGGAUGACGAAGGCCGAAAGGUUGUAAAGUCCUUUUGUUGGGGAAGAAUAACCAUGGGAGGGAAUGCCCGUGGGAUGACAUGAACCGACGAAUAAGCCCCGGCUAACUACGUGCCAGCAGCCGCGGUAACACGUAGGGGGCGAGCGUUGUUCGGAAUUACUGGGCGUAAAGGGCAUGUAGGCGGCUCUAUAAGCCCGGCGUGGAAGCCCAUGGCUCAACCGUGGGAUUGCGCUGGGAACUGCAGGGCUUGAAUCAUGGAGAGGGAGCUAGAAUUCCUGGUGUAGGGGUGAAAUCUGUAGAGAUCAGGAAGAAUACCAGUGGCGAAGGCGAGCUCCUGGCCAAUGAUUGACGCUGAGGUGCGAAAGUGUGGGGAUCAAACAGGAUUAGAUACCCUGGUAGUCCACACUGUAAACGAUGUGCACUAGGUGCUGGGGCGGAUGCUUCAGUGCCGGAGCUAACGCGGUAAGUGCACCGCCUGGGGAGUAUGCUCGCAAGGGU